GGUUGCCGAUAAAGUUUGCCCUUUCAGGCAAACCUCGUAUUAUUGUAUAUGGUUUUGCUACACAAAACUAUUAUGAAAGAAUAUUUUUCGUAAGUUGAAAUUUACUUACAAAAUAUUUUUAUAGGA
rfam:Treponema pedis str. T A4, complete genome.